UUCUUGGAGAGUUUGAUCCUGGCUCAGGACGAACGCUGGCGGCGUGCCUAAUACAUGCAAGUCGAGCGAAUCUUUAGGAGCUUGCUCCUGAAGAUUAGCGGCGGACGGGUGAGUAACACGUGGGCAACCUGCCUGUAAGACUGGGAUAACACCGGGAAACCGGUGCUAAUACCGGAUAAUCCUUUCCCUCUCAUGAGGAAAAGCUGAAAGUCGGUUUUGGCUGACACUUACAGAUGGGCC
rnacentral:rRNA from 1 species